UACGGGGGGGAGCAAGCGUUGUUCGGAUUUACUGGGCGUAAAGGGCGCGUAGGCGGUCGUGACAAGUCACUUGUGAAAUCUCCGGGCUUAACUCGGAACGGUCAAGUGAUACUGUCGGACUAGAGUACAGAAGGGGCAACUGGAAUUCUCGGUGUAGCGGUGAAAUGCGUAGAUAUCGGGAAGAACACCCGUGGCGAAGGCGGUCUCUGGAGGUACGUCGACGCUGAGACGCGAAAGCGUGGGGAGCGAACAGG
rnacentral:rRNA from 1 species